UUUGAUUUUCUAAUUACAUUGUUGAGGGGAACAACUAUGAACUACAAACAUAAACUGUAAAACGGACAUGAAUAAUAUUUUUAUGCUUAUAUCUCUUUCCUUUUUUUACUGAGAAUUUGAGACUAUGGAAUAGAAUGAUAUUUCUUAUAUGGAACUAUUGAGGGGCAAAGCAUCACGAUUUUAUUCCCACUGUUCGCAAGUCGGUGCGACAUUAUACUCCCCAUACCAUGGCGAUAACGGAAACUAAAGUUAGGGCAAGUGAAGUUCCCAUGAUUGUUGAUAAACUUCCCUUUGAUGCUUGGUUAGAUACUACUACUAUUCAUCGCCGAGGUGCUAUCUGGCUGUUAUGGCUAUCUUUUGCGGUUACUAUAGAGCAACUGUGUGAUACCAAGUAGGAAAUCCACACCACUAUUAACGUACAUGCAAAUAACUCUUUGAUUGUUUUUAUUCGUUGUAUAUAGAGUUAAUGAGUUCCAUAAUUGUCUAAAUCAUUGUAACCUUAUUGAUCUAGGAUUCAAUGGCCCUACAUUCACUUGGUCAAAUCUUAGAGAUAUAAUGGGUUUUGUCUAAGAGAGGAUUGAUUACGCUUUUGCAAAUCCGGAAUGGAGACUCCUUUACCUAAAAGCUAUUGUCAAUCAUCUCCCUAGGGCAUGUUGAGAUUGUAGUUCCAAUAGGGUCGGAAGCGUGUAAAUUAUUGUACUAAAAAAUCACACAAAGUUCAAUUCCCAGGGAAGAGAGGUGGAUCACAAGGAUCUCUUAAAUACCAAGUCUUUCCUUAGUCAGAAUAUUCCUUCUAACGUAAUUUAAUAGCACAAUUAAAUACUACUAUUAUACCCUCAAAUAUUGAAAGAAAAAUAGGACAAAAAGAACACAAGAGUUUUAACGAGGUUCGGUAAAUUAUACCUACGUCCUCGGGCUACUAAAACCAGAUGAUAACUUUACUAUCUCCAAAAUAUUACAAACAAAUAGAAUUCCUUAAGAAUUCUCAAAUGGGAGAAGAGAGAAAACUAAGAGAGAAAGAUUGGUUGGGAUGGUUGAAAUGAAAAAUGAAAAGGCCUAUUUAUAGUUGAAGUUCAGGGACUAACUUGCAAAUAGCCUAAAAAAUUAGGGACCAAAAUUGCAAUUAUCCCAUUCAACUUUUCAACAUUCGGUGCAACUUGCUCAACCUUUUUAACAAGUUGCUUCCUACCUUUGUUGACCUUUCAACAAUCUCCACCUUGAAGAUUUGA
rnacentral:lncRNA from 1 species